UUGGUCGCUGCAAUUGAAAUCCUAAGA
rnacentral:piRNA from 1 species